UGAACACUACUAGAGAGCAUGAUAGUUCUUCGUAUUGUGCAAAUGGCCUCAUAAGCAACAAAAGAUUAAGAGCCUCUAUGCCAAAACAGCCUUCCUGAGUAGGUACAGUUACAUGAAUUAGAGCCAUUUUCGGCAGGGUUUAACAAUUAUUUCAGCUGACAAACAUCCUUUCAAACCUAACUAUGUUUUAAUGACUUUUUAAUUGGCAGUUUUUAGACUUCACUAGAGACGCAUAAAAUUGCACUCUUUAAAAAAAAACCACAGUUCAGUUAACCAACUGAUGAAGUGGCUUUUUCAAUUUUAAUUGUUCGGCUAAUUUUAUUUCUGUGGUUGAGAUGGAUUAACUUCUGAGCAAAGCUGAAAACAGUAAGCCUAGUCAGUGUUUCAAAAAUAAUAAUAAUAUUUUGUUUAGGUUCAACUCUGCAAAAAAACUACUGUUUUUUUUAAAAAAAGAAACUGAUUUUUUUUUUAAAUUCAAAAACCCAUGUGACUACUAAAUGUAUGUGUAUAAGAUAAAUUAUGCAACAACUGAUGAAAUGAAAACAUACCUCAUACUGUACAUCUACAAACUCUGAAGUUUGCAUAUCCAAUCCUUCAUAUUAGGCUAAUAAAAUUUUGCUGUUAGAUAAACAGACUUUAUUAGGUGUGACAUUUGUAAAAUGACACACACCUUGAGUCUGGAUGUUUUUUUAAACCAGGGAGCUAUCAAAGCAUAAAUGUCUACAGUUUAGCACUGUAAUCAGAGAAGACAUAUAUUACAAUACAGUGAAGCUUAGCUGUUGCUAAAUGUGUUAAAUGGCGGCCCGACAGUACCCCUUUCAGAUGGUUGGUAGGCCUCACUUGGCAUGCUCUCAAUCAGAGAACACAACAAACAAGAAAAAAUUCCCAGAGAGAGAAAAUUAGCAGGCCAGGGAGAAGGUUAGGCUAGAAUCUUUAUCUCUGAUAUGCUAGAUUUUGUGUAUGCAGGGAAUGUUUUACUACUGUUCAAUCACAGUCCAGCUACAGGCUUACCAUCUCAAUGAGAACGAGGCCUUACACUUUCCACAUACUAGUAAAGGAUAGAAUGCCUAUUCAGUAAUUCUCAGAGAGUUACACUGUUAUUCCAUUCCCUAUAAAAACAAACAAACCCAAUAAUAAUAAAAUAAAGCUUGAUCAAAAUUCAUAAUAUGAGAUGUGCAGAAAAGAACCCCUUAUUUUCCAUUGAUUUUUAUUUUCUUUUAUUGCUUUUUUGCAGUCCUAUUUUUUAAGAAAAAGAGGUGCUGGAAUUCAUUAUGAACACUUGUUCCCUUGUUCUCUUAGAAUGGCAGUGACACCCACCUGAGAGGUGCCGGAACUGAGUUCCAGUGAGUUCCAGCUGAAAAAAGGCAUGUUUUUUGUCUUUUGCAAGAUGAAAUGGCAUAUCAAUGACACUCAGACAUUUCUCUUUUUCUUUUUGUGUUGAAGGACUGAAUCAUGUGGUCCAUCCUGCAUUCCGCAGUUGGCUUAAUUCAACAUCCAGUUCCCCAUUCAAAAGCAGAAGCAUCUCUCUAAACAAGGCAAUGCAGGUCUACCCUCACCAGACCUGUGGGAAACAGCUUUACUUGCUAUAUUUUGAGAUUAUUUAUUGUGAUUCUAUUAAUGCAUUUUCAUGGUUCUUGUAAGCUGCCUUGGAUUUGCAUCCUGAAAGGUGGGCUAUAAAUAACUGCAAUAAACGAAUGAAUCUGUGAGCUCCCCCACCUCACCACAAAGGGC